ensembl:lncRNA
AUUGCCCUCUCCUAAAGGGAAAGAAACCACAACAGCUAACAUUUCACUAAUAACGGUGAUCAUCAUCAUCUUGACCAGAUCUUGGUCUGGGGAGCUACUCCAGAGUAUGAGGGUUUGAGAGUGAGCAGGCCAUGAUUUUCACCAACAACAGUGACAGAUGAUGGCUGCGGGUUGGGAAGGAUGGGCUUCACUGCAUGGACCUCUCACAGGAGCCCACGGUGCCCAGCCUGCACUGCCUCAGUCCUGGCAUUGUAAAUACUCUGCUGGAGCGAGUCCCUCCUUGACAAAGACAUGAGAAUGUGUUUGCUAAGGGAAAACAAGCUUGUCUUGGCCGUCACAGAGGAAAACUGCAAGCUAAGGCAAGACGUCAUUGCUUUGCUGUCAGGGUAAAUAGGCAGAGGCAGCAGCAGCCUAGCUAGGGCUGCUCUUGAGGGAGCCCUCAGGACAGACCCCCAGUGCCUCUCUGUGUGGAGAGGAAGCACAGAUCCGCUCUGCUUGUCACCAGGGCACAGGUCAAGAAAUGAUGAAUCGUAUGUGUGGAGGAUUUAGAGCAAAAUACAGGAAGGAAAGCUGUCAGGGGUGAGUGUGACAGGAUCUGCCUGGAGCUCUGUCUCCAGCACUCUUUGCAUCUUGCUGCCUGUCCUUAGGGAUGGCCGACAUUGCCCAGGGGCACAAAUAAGGCAAGCUGCAGUAUUCCCAGUGUCUCUCCCAGCCUCUUUUCUCCAGGUCUGUAAAAGCUGUCUGCUAUUAGCAGGACAAUAACAUUGUGCUGUUCAGUCCCCAGAAGGAGCACAAGGCACUUUCAUCCAUAUCAGGCAGCCUGGUGAAUAAGGACAGGGAGAACCCGUGGGCGGUAAGGCACCGCAGACAUUUCCAUGCUUUAUCACUGUGUUGCUUUAACUCUUCCUCAGCCUGUUCCACGUCCAGGACAGCCAGCUGCUGUGGGUCCUCUCUGGUAUUUACAUGUCUUCCCCAAACACUACUUCCCCAGCAGCCAGCAGGGAUCCAGGCAUCCACAUGAUGCUGCUUACCUGUCCCAAGGAUAAGGGCUCACCAAGUGCUCCCAAAAAGAGAGACCUUCUGGUAAAGA